GACGAACGCUGGCGGCGUGCUUAACACAUGCAAGUCGAACGGAAAGGCCCUGCUUUUGUGGGGUGCUCGAGUGGCGAACGGGUGAGUAACACGUGAGUAACCUGCCCUUGACUUUGGGAUAACUUCAGGAAACUGGGGCUAAUAUCGGAUAGGAGCUCCUGAUGCAUGGUGGGGGUUGGAAAGUUUCGGCGGUUGGGGAUGGACUCGCGGCUUAUCAGCUGGUUGGUGGAGUAGUGGCUUACCAAGGCUUUGACGGGUAGCCGGCCUGAGAGGGUUACCGGCCACAUUGGGACUGAGAUACGGCCCAGACUCCUACGGGCGGCAGCAGUGGGGAGUAUUGCACAAUAGGCGGAAGCCUGAUGCAGCGACCCCGCGUGCGGAAUGACGGCCUUCGGGUUGUAAACCGCUUUCGCCUGUGCCGAAGCCUGCUUGACGGUAAUGAGUAAAGAAGCCCCGGCUAACUACGUG
rnacentral:rRNA from 1 species